UUCUACAUUCCUACCGGAAUAUUGGGAAUAUAUUCGAAGCAGAAGAACAGUUGUGUGAUCAUCGGCUAUCUUACGAUGUGUAUCAUCACGGCCAUCGUUGCCUGUAUUCAAAAUGAUUGCUGGUGCCAUUGGGGCAGGAAUCAUCAGUAGUUCCUCUUACUAUGGCUAUGGCUCUUACUAUAGCUCUGACUAUUAUCGAGUACUAAGGUGGGUAAGAAUCGCAUCGGACUCUUUGCUGGCAAUCCUUGGCCUGAUCGAGAUGAUUGUAGCCAUUGUGGCUUCAGCCUACUGCUGUGGUGGCAUGGCCUGUGGCAACUUGUCUUCACCAACAACCACC